UGGUAUAGCUCAAUUGGUAGAGCACCUGAUUUGUAAUCAGGGGGUUGCGGGUUCAAGUCCCAUUACCA
rnacentral:tRNA from 1 species